AGUCAAGAUUCUCUCCAUCACGCUCCUCCUGCUCUCAAUAUGUGUGUGCUGCCACUCCUCUGAAGUUCCAGCUCAUCCUGGAAAGAGAUGACCGUGCUGCGUUGACGUCACCUACAUGAAUAAGAGCGCCGAGGUGGUGGGGGAAACAUAUCGUCAGCAGGCUGCAAGACCACCCUGUGUGAAGGCUAUAAUUUUCAACACAGGAAACGGAGGACAACUUUGUGCUGAUCCUAACGCUCAGUGGGUCAAAGAUCUCACUGCCAACAAGACGAAGGUGUAGUGAAGUGAAGUUCUCUGGUGAAGCAUCACUGCCUGUCUCCUUUGAGAUCACCUUUAAAAACGUAUUUUAACUCGAGCGCUUUCUUAAUGUAACUGUUUCUUUCUGCUUUCAUUUACAUUUACUCUAACCUGUUGAGUAAUCCUAUUGUUUAUUCUAGGUGACGGCUUUAGUCUUUUUUUGGACCAGCUGUUUUCAAAUGGAUACGUUUUGACUUCCUUUGUUUUUGUCUUUCUUGCUUAUUCAUGAAUUUCUUUCUUUGUAUUAUGUGUUGAUGUGAAGCACAUUCUGGCAGCAAAAAAUAAUAUAAAAAAAUAAACUUUUGUAUU